UGCAGGAAUCGGAUUACAGCUGUCGAUGUGGCCUUCGGCAUCGCUUUUAGCCACACAAACUUGGUCAAGUGAUCUAAUGCGAUAAAUAGCAUGGUAUUUCCUCGGCGAGACCGCGGAUACUUUCCUAAGAAAUCCAGUUUUCGCAGGCUGCUACAAAGUCUCGGACUUGAACUACCAUUUUGGGCCUGUAAUACAUCUGCUGAAGUAUCGCCAAGGUCUUUGCCAUACCCCCAUGCAUCGCCAUGUCGCCGCCGUGGGCUUGCUGGAUUAGAGUUGUCGUCAAUGCUUCCGGAAUCCACAGUUUCCAUUCAAAUUCCCCACUUUCCUCUCGAUUGAAGUGUGUCUUCUUGAAUAGAAGUCCUUCUUCCACACGAAUUCAGGACUCUCAAAUUCAGUUGUUUCAAACUCGAAAAACUCUACUUCAGCGGUUUCUUUCGGCCGAGAUAGCAUGUCGGCCACGAUGUUGUCUUUCCCUUUCCGAUGCUCUUUGUUGAAGUCGAAUGCCUGUA